rnacentral:misc_RNA from 1 species
GUGGUGUUGGAUUGUCCUUGUCGGUUGUCUCGGUGCCAGUCCACCGAACGGACAGCAGGCGAUCCGCGUCGGUCGCGCGAGGUGCGAUGGUUACCCGGAGGCCUACCUCUUCAAGGGAAGCAGGCCACUUGAUGUACGCCUUCAUCCUGCGCCUUCCCAAGGGCGCAGGAGGACAACGGAGCACCCACCGCGUUCCACCGAGCCUUUGCCAGUCGUGUGGCGCGCGGGGACGUGCUAUGCUCUCGGACCCAGCGAACACCGUGGGCGAGGACUCACGUCCCAACCCCAAGAGAAGCCUCGAUGUAACGUAUGACGGCCGCUCUCGCCCCGGCGGUGUGAGGGCGAGGCGCGGCGUCGCGGAGGAAUGCUACCUGGUUGAUCCUGCCAGUAGUCAUAUGCUUGUCUCAAAGAUUAAUCC